rnacentral:rRNA from 1 species
UUUUGCAUCAUGGUCUAACUAGUUUAACCAAGCAAAACGAAUUUUAAGUUUGCCUCCCCGAAACUAAGCGAGCUACUUCAAAACAGCCUUACGAGCCAACCCGUCUCUGUUGCAAAAGAGUGGGAAGAUUUUCAAGUAGAGGUGACACACCUAUCGAGCCUAGAGAUAGCUGGUUAUUCAAGAAAAGGAUAUAGUCCAACUUUAAACCUCAACACAACCUAAAAUAUACCCCCAGGUUUAAAAUUUAUUCAAAUAAGGUACAGCCUAUUUGAAACAGGAUACAACCUAUUACGCAGGGUAAUGUUUUACGAUAUGACAAAGUAGGCCUAAGAGCAGCCACCUUAUAAAAAGCGUUACAGCUUCACCAUAGAUAUCACCAAUCCCAACUAAAACUCAAAACCCUCUAUCGAUAUUGAAUGACCCCAUACUUAUAUGGAAAACCCUAUGUUAGAACUAGUAACAAGAAUAAAUUCUCCGCCAAAAGCACGUGUAAACCGGAAUGAACUAUUUCCCCGGUAUUUACCGCCAAUGAAUAAAUAGUAGCAACAACACAAGAAAACCCUACUUACCCCCAGCGUUAACCUCACACCAGAGCUUUCCAGGAAGAUUAAAAAAAGGGGAAGGAACUCGGCAAAUAGUAACCCCGCCU